rnacentral:rRNA from 1 species
AACGUACGCUGGCGGCACGCCUAACACAUGCAAGUCGAACGCAGUAGCAAUACUGAGUGGCAGACGGGUGAGUAACAUGUGGGAAUCUGCCUUGUGGUUCAGGACAACAUUGGGAAACCGAUGCUAAUACUGGAUAAGCCCUUACGGGGAAAGUUUUAAUGCCAUAAGAUGAGCCCGCAUUUGAUUAGUUAGUUGGUGAGGUAAUGGCUCACCAAGACAAUGAUCAAUAGCUGAUCUGAGAGGAUGAUCAGCCACACUGGGACUGAGACACGGCCCAGACUCCUACGGGAGGCAGCAGUGGGGAAUCUUGCACAAUGGAGGAAACUCUGAUGCAGCGAUGCCGCGUGAGUGAAGAAGGCCUUUGGGUUGUAAAGCUCUUUUGUAGGGGAAGAUAAUGACUGUACCCUAAGAAUAAGGUCCGGCUAACUUCGUGCCAGCAGCCGCGGUAAUACGAAGGGACCUAGCGUAGUUCGGAAUUACUGGGCGUAAAGCGCGCGUAGGCCGUUGAGUUAGUUAAUUGUGAAAUCCCAAAGCUUAACUUUGGAACUGCAAUUAAAACUGCUCGACUAGAGUUUGAUAGAGGAAAGCGGAAUACAUAGUGUAGAGGUGAAAUUCGUAGAUAUUA